rnacentral:rRNA from 1 species
CCUACGGGUGGCAGCAGUGAGGAAUAUUGGUCAAUGGACGAGAGUCUGAACCAGCCAAGUAGCGUGAAGGAUGACUGCCCUAUGGGUUGUAAACUUCUUUUAUAUGGGAAUAAAAUGUUCCACGUGUGGGAUUUUGUAUGUACCAUAUGAAUAAGGAUCGGCUAACUCCGUGCCAGCAGCCGCGUUAAUACGGAGGAUCCGAGCGUUAUCCGGAUUUAUUGGGUUUAAAGGGAGCGUAGGUGGAUUGUCAAGUCAGUUGUGAAAGUUUGCGGCUCAACCGUAAAAUUGCAGUUGAAACUGGCAGUCGUGAGUACAGUAGAGGUGGGCGGGAUUCGUGGUGUAGCGGUGAAAUGCUUAGAUAUCACGAAGAACUCCGAUUGCGAAGGCAGCUCACUGGACUGCAACUGACACUGAGGCUCGAAAGUGUGGGUAUCAAACAGGAUUAGAUACCCCAGUAGUC